UCAGCAGAAAGGUCACUUUCUAAGGUCAUUCUCAGCACACACUGACAACAUGCUGGGGACCCUCGGCACUCUUAUCACUGUUCUAACAUGUAUGAAAGGUGUGAGAGGAGCGACUGUGGUGACACAGACGCCUCCUGUUGUAACAGUGAGGAAAGGAGAAACGGCCACCAUGGACUGUAACCUGGGGAGUGUUACUGGCAGCGCUGCCCGAUGGUACAGACAGAUCCCAGGAGAAGUUCCUCUAUAUAUGCUCAGGUCUUAUCAUGGCUGGAGUGCACCCUCAUAUGACACUGGGUUCCCCUCUUCAAGACACACGGCAACUCAUCAGUCAACAUCAGAUUACCGUUUGCAUAUCAGCAGUGUGGAGGAAGGAGAUUCUGCAGUUUAUUACUGUAAAACAUGGGAUGACUCUGCUAAAGAGUGGGUAUCACAGUGA